GUCUGACGGAGCGACGCUGCGUGAAGGAUGAAGGCCCGUGGGUUGUAAACUUCUUUUCUCGAAGAAGAAAAAAAUGACGGUAUUCGAGGAAUAAGCAUCGGCUAACUCUGUGCCAGCAGCCGCGGUAAGACAGAGGAUGCAAGUGUUAUUCGGAAUGAUUGGGCGUAAAGAGUCUGUAGGCGGUUUAGAAAGUCUUUUGUGAAAUACUUCAGCUCAACUGAGGCUCCGCAAAAGAAACUUCUAGACUUGAGGAAAGUAGAGGUACAGGGAAUUUCCGGUGGAGCGGUGAAAUGCGUAGAUAUCGGAAGGAACACCAAUAUGGCGAAGGCACUGUACUGGGCUUUUCCUGACGCUCAGAGACGAAAGCUGAAGGAGUGAUUAGGAUUAGAUACCCUAGUAAUUUCAGCCGUAAACGAUGAAAACUCACUGUCGAGCCAAUAUAUGGAGCGGUGGUCAAGCUAACGCGUGAAGUUUUCCGCCUGGGGAUUACGCUUGC
rnacentral:rRNA from 1 species